rfam:Gossypium raimondii Chr07_contig_1426, whole genome shotgun sequence.
UAUUAAAAAAUCAUUCAUUUUUAUUAUUAAAAACUAACGAGACUGACAAAAUAACUCAAUAGUUACACGUGGUGUGUCAUGUGUAUUUCAUUCUAAUCUAUGAGAAUUAGUCUUUAACCGUAUAAAUGGAUGCAAUUUUUAAUA